AAGGUCAAGCACGAGAUUAAUAAUCAGUCAAGGAGCUACUGUACUACAAAAAGUUUCUAACAGGUUGAGCAGCUGCCGAUGGUGAUGAAGUGACGAGCGGGAUUCUUUUGUCUUAUUAUGUAGUAAUGAACUCUAGGGUUACAUGUCAUCAUACAUGUAAUCAGAACCUUAUUCCGCUGCGUACUCAGAAGUUUUAUGUUUAUUUGGCUAAGUCAGAGAUAUCUGAACUUACUAGUUAUUUGAGUCUAUACGACUAAACUUCUGUUAUAUUAUAAAUAUUCCUUUUGUUAAAUUAUGAAA